UGGCAGGCAGCGAGCAGCUCUAUGGCCAGAACUAGAAAUCACAACAGCGGGAGAGACAUUCAGCAGGCACAGCUCAAGGCGAGGCUUCCUUCACCAGUCUCUCCAUGGUGUUUGGUGUAGUUGGUGUGAUCCACACAGCCCUGAGCACUCACACGUAUGGGCAAAUGAGUUCAGUGUUUGUGUGCUGUGUAUUAGUGCAUUCUCCCACUAACAGCUGUAUUAAGCACACCCUCUGCCAAAUGAAUAAAUAAAAGAAUAAAAAAGCAAGAGAGCGAGCUGUUGUUCCAAGCAAGAGAGGAAAGUUUUGCUGAGCAGCCUGUAGUUAGCAGUUUUCUGUCAUAAGAAACACAGCCCCAGGUUCACCUCAUCUCUGUUAAAAGAUCCAACUGCUUGUAUAAUAAAACAUCUUAAAAGUUACUUUUAAUGAAUUAAGCCUUUUUUUUUUUUUUGUCUCUUUUCCAAACAGCAUCUGAAUAGAAUGGCACUAAUACCUUAAUCUGGUUACGUGCAUAAGGUCUGCCUGGAAAUCAGCAGUUUAACGUUACCUUGUUCCACAUGCUCAAUGACUCUCAGUGCUUUUCUUGCAGACCAUCCUCCCAUGGACACGUGGUCCUCCGUAGCAGCGCUGGUGGACAGAGAAUCCACAGAGGAGGGGUGGCACAAGGCUUUGUUCUCCGAAACUGCAAAAACCCCAUGAGGGAAUGUAGGGCAGAACAGAUAAUGACACCAGAAGCAAUGGCCAGCCUGGAAAAAAGGGCCCAUCCACUACCACAGGCUGCAGGAGAGUCCGACCUUCACUUCUCUUUGGAGAAUGCAUUGAUGUUAUAGCUGAGUACUUUGUAAGGAACACCUUGAAAACUGCCAUUGUCUUCGAAAAAGUCACCAAUACCUGUCUUUGGGUGUCAGCUCACUGACUAGUUCUCUGCAAGGGUAUUCACCGUGAAAAUUUCCUCCAGAAAUGGUCUCUGCUCUUUCAGCAAACACCAUCUUGAAGGAGUUAAGGCACAAAUGAAAGGAAAUAAAGUCAAUUUUUACCUGAGGGCAGCAGCGCAUCGUAUAUGCGUCCUGAACUCGGUCACAAAAUCGGUGGCUCUCUAGGAAGAACAAAGGGGCAAAAGCCAAAUAUUCCUCACACAAAAGCAAAUGUGCUACAUUUGUAAGACCCAGCCUGCCCUAUGCAACCUGGCAUGGUGAAGGCUGACAUUAUUUACCUGCUAUUUCUGAUGGGUGAUGGUCAGAAUCCAGAAGGGACCUGAAUCGAAAUGCCACUUCAGCCUGCCCUCGAUGUGGACGUACAGCAUGGAUAUCUAGCAAAAUAAAUGAGACUGCUUGGCUUUGCCUCUCUCCAGUGUCUGCCAGCAAACAGAGAAAAGCUCAGUACCUACCAGUAUCAAAGGCCUUAGUUGUACCCUUCAGGACUUCAAGUGUAAGGGCAGCGACUAUGUCUGCUUGCCUAGCAAUGGCGCUAGCUCUUUCAACUGCUUCGCAUCCCAGCGAGGUGAUCAUUUGUGUCCCAUUGAUGAGAGCCAGACCCUUCAAAGAGAGAACAGAUGUUAACCAAGUCCACAUGCUGCGAUCAUUCCCCAUCUCUGUGAUGAUUCUCUUUCUCACAUAAGUUAUUUAAAGACCUUUGCUGAGCUCCCUGGAUUGUCCUGAAGAAAAUCAUAAUAAGCACAGCUUGACCAAGUAUCUUUGCUACAUAAAUUGUUGAUGUUCAUGACCCUGCUAAGUCAUUAUAGACACUCUUGGAAUUCCAGCAGUCCCAAGAAAGAGAUUUAGUUCAUGUUACUUCAAACUUAAAUGAAAAGUCUUUUCCAAGUGCUUUGGAAGUGGAAUUUAAUUGUUUUACUUUUUUAAAAGUCAUUAAACCAAAGAAGUUAGGGUUAUGGGGUGUGCAAAAACAGUCAUAACAAGGAAAUGGAGAGUUGAAAGAGAAUUAAAAGUUUUAACUGCUUUGAAAGAUUUGUUGAGUGCAGUUAAAGCUAAGUACAGCUUUGUUCUAAACAAACACGAGAGUCUUCUGUUCGCCUGUAGGAGAUACUGGAUUUGGCUUCCUGCUGCUACUGUUCUUGUUGUCAUUUUACAGCUUCUGAGGCCCCAUACCAGAGGACUCCACAACCCUCAAAUCUGCAGUGUUCCCAUGUAAACUUGUUACUUGAAGUGAGGUUAAUCUCACUUGAUUUUAACCACCUAGAAGUCAGCUGUCUGGUUCAGGUCUGUCACACGAACUCUAGCUUCGGUCAAAGGGCAGAGAGGUGCCUUCAGAGGGCUUCUUAGCCGCUCUGGAAUGAGAUGAAGUGUUUUUGGAAGAUGGCUGUCCCCCUUCAGUCACUACAGAGACAAUCUAAACAUCACAUUUGGGACCGACAUUUCAAGUCAAGUAGGGUGACACAAUGAGAGGUAAAUCCCAUUCAAGAUGGUACUUUCUCAAGUACAGCUUAAUCCACUCAUGACUAUUAGUGGCUGCACACUAAGCGUCAUAGGGUAUAUUUUAAAAGUGAAAUGAUGCAUUUUUUCUAAAGCCAUCCACAGCAAAAGCCUUCAGACUUCUAUAACCCACUAAUAGGAGCUAUCUUCUCUAAGGAUGCAAUACAAACCUAUGUGUAAAUUCAAAUUUGUAACAAAUCACAAAGCCUCGGCUGUAAAAUGAGGACAGAUGUGAAUACAAGACCUCUAGGCUUUGACAGCAAAGUGAACUGCUGGAUGGUGACCAAAAGGACAGAUCUGCACUGGUGCUGCAAGGAAUACAUCUACUAUUACUAUUUGCAUUACCAUGGUUUCCAUCAAAAAGAAUCCUGUUCUCACUGAUGCCACCUUCCACUGACCUGGAGACACAUGGGAUUGCUACUGCAAUAACUUCCAGUGACGGUCAGGAGCAUUGGAAAUACAGAUCCAUUACAGUUACUGCUUGCCAAAGGACUGGAUAUCACUGGCAUUGAAAUGGGGACAGGAGGCAGGAUGGCACUUAUCUGUCUGCUGACCUGAAGCCUUACAGUCACAGCUUCUGUUUAGCUGCGGUUCUGCCGAAUCCCACACAGAUGGGAGUUGCAAUGGAAAUGCUGCCAUAAGCUCUCCUGGUGAAUGGAGUCUCUGGCAUCCCUCCCCAUGGCUGACUUCAAAUACCUUUCUGAAGCUUGAUCUAAAAUGACUGUUGGCUCAUGUCAGGCUUCAAUUGCAAGUAUAAAGCAACUAGUGAUUGACUAAACUUGUUUUUCAUCAGCUGACAUUACCCUUCAUUACCUCUUUUGGUUUCAAGGUAAUUGGUUUCAGACCAUGGGCUUCGAGGACCUGUGAAGGAGUUCAACGGAGAGAGAUAUACACAUACAUAUAUUUCAGUAAUUCAAUACCCCAAACUUUAAAAUCGUAACUCUUUCUGUACAUUAAUACAAAAUAAAAAAAAAAAUCCCCAAGUGAAGGAAGAAAAAAAGCUUUAUAUUACAAACAAUUUAGACUAAUUUUUCUUCUGGAGCAUUUUUGGGCUUCUAAACUAGCAACUCAUUUCCCAGUAUCAUUAAAAGAAGGCAGUAGGAACACUACUAUGAGAUAUUGCCACAGCCCAUUAACAUCUACCAUGUAUUAUCUGGUGGGAAAGAGUAAUAGAGAAGGCUUGUGGUGCCACCACG